UACAGAGGGGGCAAGCGUUGUUCGGAAUUACUGGGCGUAAAGGGCGCGUAGGCGGCCUUCUAAGUCGAACGUGAAAUCCCCGGGCUCAACCCGGGAACUGCGUCCGAUACUGGAAGGCUUGAAUCCGGGAGAGGGAUGUGGAAUUCCAGGUGUAGCGGUGAAAUGCGUAGAUAUCUGGAGGAACACCGGUGGCGAAAGCGGCUCACUGGACCGUCUCUGACGCUGAGGUGCGAAAGCUAGGGUAGCAAACGGG
rnacentral:rRNA from 1 species